rnacentral:rRNA from 1 species
UACGGAGGGUGCAAGCGUUAAUCGGAAUUACUGGGCGUAAAGCGUGCGCAGGCGGUUUGUUAAGUCCGUUGUGAAAGCCCCGAGCUCAACUUGGGAAUUGCAGUGGAUACCGGCAGGCUGGAGUACGGUAGAGGAAGGUGGAAUUCCCGGUGUAGCAGUGAAAUGCGUAGAUAUCGGGAGGAACACCAGUGGCGAAGGCGGCCUUCUGGACCAGUACUGACGCUCAUGCACGAAAGCGUGGGGAGCAAACAGG